rnacentral:rRNA from 1 species
UGGGGAAUAUUGCACAAUGGAGGGAACUCUGAUGCAGCGACGCCGCGUGAACGAAGAAGGCUUUCGAGUCGUAAAGUUCUUUUAUAUGGGAAGAUAAUGACGGUACCAUAAGAAAAAGCCCCGGCUAACUACGUGCCAGCAGCCGCGGUAAUACGUAGGGGCUAGCGUUGUCCGGAAUCACUGGGCGUAAAGGGUUAGCAGGCGGAAAUGCAAGUCAGGUGUAAAAGGCAGUAGCUUAACUACUGUAAGCAUUUGAAACUGCAUAUCUUGAGAAGAGUAGAGGUAAGUGGAAUUUUUAGUGUAGCGGUGAAAUGCGUAGAUAUUAAAAAGAAUACCGGUGGCGAAGGCGACUUACUGGGCUCAUUCUGACGCAGAGGAACGAAAGCGUGGGUAGCAAACAGG